rnacentral:rRNA from 1 species
GACGAACGCUGGCGGCGUGCCUAAUACAUGCAAGUAGAACGCUGAAGGAGGAGCUUGCUUCUCUGGAUGAGUUGCGAACGGGUGAGUAACGCGUAGGUAACCUGCCUGGUAGCGGGGGAUAACUAUUGGAAACGAUAGCUAAUACCGCAUAAGAGUAGAUGUUGCAUGACAUUUGCUUAAAAGGUGCAAUUGCAUCACUACCAGAUGGACCUGCGUUGUAUUAGCUAGUUGGUGAGGUAACGGCUCACCAAGGCAACGAUACAUAGCCGACCUGAGAGGGUGAUCGGCCACACUGGGACUGAGACACGGCCCAGACUCCUACAGGAGGCAGCAGUAGGGAAUCUUCGGCAAGGGACGGAAGUCUGACCGAGAAACGCCGCGGGAGUGAAGAAGGUUUUCGGAUCGUAAAGCUCGGUUGUAAGAGAAGAACGAGUGUGAGAGUGGAAAGUUCACACUGUGACGGUAUCUUACCAGAAAGGGACGGCUAACUACGUG